AUCAGUGGGGACUUCACAAGUACAAAAUGAAGGUAUGAUUAUGUCUUUAUAAUAUAUAAUAUGGGCUUUUUUGAGCCACAUUAUUCCAAAAAAAAUACAUUCUUAAACAAUGAUUUGACCCAUUUCAACCAUACAUUCAUCAAUAAAAUAAUAUUACAAACAGAUCAAAAACUUUUCUUUAUUUUUUAACUGCUCAUUUUCCAUCAAUACACUAUUCAAUAAUGCAUUAUUACCAAAAUAAUGUGGUUCAAACACCUCCUAAAUAUGAUUAUAUCUUUGGAUUACUUUAGUUGGGUUUGAUAACCAAAACUAGUUCAAUCUGAAAGUACACUGUACAUGUUUCUCAAGUACAAAUACCAUUAAAUAUAUUCCUACUCAAAACCUCAAGUUCAUUUAUUAAUAACUAAUAUUAGUAUAAAAUACAUUUGCCUCAGGACCAAGAAGGAUCUCCUGAUGGUCUUCCGUGAAGAUGUAUGCGUCAAAUAUACUAAAACAAGUAAAAGUGAUUUUUAAUAUGAUGGUUUAAGUGUUAGAAUUCAUGAGUUCACUAUAAUUAUCCUCUUAAUCUCAAUUAUCAAGUUUUAUACAAUUGUUUAUGUUUACCUGAUCGAAUUCUUUCAAUGUAUUUAAUUUAUCCUUCUCGAGUUCUCAUAUAGUCUGUUAAACUAAUUUAAUUCCAUAUAUCUAUGUGAAUGAAUCUUAGUUAAACGCAAUUAAUGUUCUAAGAAUUCAUGUAACAACCACAACAAUUAGCAUAAGCAUAUCUACGUUUUAUACUAAUUACCAACUUUCAAUACGUUAUCUAAACAAAUAAUCUGUUUUUCUAUGUAAUUAUUGUUCACGAAAUCAAUAAAUUAGUGGCCAGUUAAUCCAAACUUUAAGAUUGGAAGUAAAAACAACUCACAAAAUCAAUUUGAGAUUUAAAUAUUUUUAAUUAAAAAUAAGGUUCAAAAUUAGGUUACAAUCAUUCAUCCUGACUAAAUUCUUAAUCACAUAUCGUGAGAGAGAAAAAAUACAAGAAGGAAUUAAAGUACUUGACCGGGUAUUAAGGAAAAGCAAGAAAAAUAUGAAAAUCUUGCAUAAAAAAUCCGUCUCUUCUUGUAAAAUCCUUGAAACCCUAACUUCUUGAUCAAUUUCUUGAUUUUCCCUCCUUUUGGCUUGAAUAAUAUAUGUACAAUGAAUCCCCAAGCCUUUGCUUCAAUGUAUGUAUGUAACGAAAUCCUACAAGUCCCCUUUAAUCGUUAGCCUAAGGUUUGUAUUUAUAGAAAGGAUUUAUGAGAAAUCCUUAUUCAACUUUAUUUUCAUCAAAGAGUUUAAAUUGAUUUUUAUUAAAGAGUUCAAAUUAGUUUCUAUCAAAGAGUUUAAGAAAUAAAAGGAAACCUUUUAAUUGAACUCCUUUUUUCACAUAACUUUAUUUUUUUUAUCGAAUGCUUCAUUAAUAUUCCCAAUUGAUAUCUUGCAAUUAGGUUAAUCUUCAAGUGCUUCAAAUAAACUCCAAUUAAGUUUCAAAUUGCCUCUUUUCAUAUAAGUUGUAUCCAAGUUGAAAUUUUCCUACAUUUUACAUAAUUUACACAAAUUAAGUAGAUAAUUAUUCAAUUUGUAUACAAUUAAAUAAGAAUAGAAAGCCGCAUAAGCGCAUGAAAUGCACUUACACGGGCCAACUCAUGAAAUUUUUAGGCAAUACUUUUCCUUACCAGCUGGACCAAAUUAGGCCAUUUUUCAUCAUUGCCCAAAGAGGAAUAUUUGGCAUCACCGCCCAAUAAAAGCUACAAAAAACCACCACCACCAGAGUGCUCAUCAGUUAAGUUCCUUGCAAAUCCAAGUGGCAUCUUUGAUAGCCUAUCUCCAAAACUAGGCUAAUGGAGCUCCUCAACCAGCAUUUAGAUAUAUUUGAUGGGUACAAUUUAAAAUUUCUAAUUGAGAAAAUUCAAAAUUAAUAAAAAAAAAUUUCAAAAUAUUUGUAUUCAAGCAAAAGAUUUCGACAUUAUCUCAUUCUGAGGACUCCCAGAAAAAACUCAAGAUCGUGCCCAUUAUGUCCAAAGUACAACAAUACUCCAAUAAAUUUGCACGUGAGAUGCUCAUCAUUAGAGAUUCGUUCAGCGAUAUACACAAACUCGUUACAACUCUCUAGCAAGAAUUGAUGUACUAAUAUCCGUUGUUGGUCCUAAGAAACGGAGGAGGCUAGAUUAGUUGAAAGUUGGUUAUUAGUUAUAAAGUGCACAUACUUUUAAUCAUAGUUAUAAAACCCAGACCGGACCGACCGGUUCAAUCCGAAAAUCGCUGAACCAGACCCAGGUCCAGUCUGAGCUCAUUGAAUUUAAAACUCGACAGGUAACCCGACUUUAGUCUGGUUGAACCCCGAUUUUUAAACAAACCCGUGCACCAGUUUUUCGUGAGCCGACCGGUUAAGUAAUUACAAGGACUUUGCCUUCAAUAAAGUUUCCCCAAUCCCGUUUCUACCCCAAUUCUCAGAAAUUAGGGAGUCUUCACGCUUGCGAAAUCAAUCAACUUGGUUGCCGUCUCCAUUCUCUUGCAAUUCGACCACCCCCAAAAAUCCAAAUACCCAAGUUCGAGUUUUAAGAGAUGGAACUCAAAGAGUCGGUCAGUCUAUCAGACUUUUUUCUACAAAACUCGACCAAAAUUGAUUUUAUAGUUAAGCUAAAUUUCUGAAUCCCCCGUAUAUGUGUUCUUCUGUUAACUUGUUUUUUUGUUCAAAAAUAUCACAAUAAGAAAUUAUUGCCUUGUUUAGUUCGUUGGUUGUGGUGAUGGGAAAUAGGAUUUUUGUGGUUAAUUCCAAGAUGGUCACUGGGUUUAGUUUGACCUUGCAUGAAUUUAUUAUGCUUCUGGUUGAGUUUCAUUACAAGUUAUCCAAUUUUUGCAAUAAGGAGGUUUUUAUGGGUAUACUGUUAUGAUAUUGAGAGUGUUGUUGACAACUUGGAAGGCAACACUGAUGUUUUUCUCCUCGUAAGUGUUGUCACUAGUCUAGCAGCAAGCAGGUGGCCAGUGCACUGAAAAAUAAAUUCAACAAUAACAAACCUACAGUUGGCUAAUUUGAUUAAUCAUACUCAUUCUUGACAUUCUUAUGGAAUCACUUGCUACCAGUUCACAUUUUCAAAGAAUAACGUUGUAAAUUGUCAAGAGCUUCACUUCGUUCUAUUUCCUUCUUGUUAUAACUAUGCUUGGAAUAUUAAUCUCUAUGGUAAUUAUUUAAUGGAUGAGCAAGAGCAUGUUGCAUGAAUCUGCCAGAGUUAGAUUCAUUUCCAAUUUUCUCUUGCCUUUUUCUUUUGAUGGAGCUGGAGUUCAUUAGUGUGAUGUUAUGUACUGUGAUGUUAUAACUUUAUGUUAAUUUUCAUGAUGUUUUAAUUUGAAGCGAGGUCCCAGUGAGAAUGAGUUCCUAUAAUUCUAUUUCAUUAUGAGCAGUAAGUAGAUGUAUUGCUAGUUGUAGUUUGAGCUUUUAUUAAUUUAUUAUGCUUAUUGUUGAGUUACAUGACAUGACAUUUAUCCAAUAGUUGCAUUACUUCUUAGAUGUAUUGUAGAGGUAUUUGGAGACCAAAUUAGAACAAAACAAACCGUUAACUUGAAAUUAAUAAUCUUUUCUGAUUUUAGUCUAAUAAUUCAUUAAUACAUAUAUGUAGAAAAGUCUUAGAUGUAUUGAUGUCUGUUGAGAUUGAUGUCGUAUGUCAAGUCUUAUGAAAUUGCCUCAACUUCAUGUACAUUUCCUUGAUGUUAAUUAGCAAUUUCUUGAGUAGCCUAUGUUCAUUAAUUUUCCAAUGGUGAACAAGCAUGAUAUAUAGUUUUUUUUCCUUCGUAUAGUUCAUUGGUGAUAAUAGUACACCGCAUAGUUCAUCUCCACUAAAGAAUUGUGCUAGAGGAAAAAUAGAUAUUGCAUGGGGUCAUUGUAAAGAGAUAUUAGAAGCUAGUAAUAAUAGAAAUAUAAACAAAAAAAAAACCUUAUUUGCUUGUAUUGUGGAAAGACUUUCGUCGGAGGUGGUAUCAAUCGAGUCAAACACCACUUAGCGGGAAUGAAAGGUGACGUUGAUUCAUGUCGUAAAGUACCUCCGGAUGUUAGAUUCAAAUGAAAGAAAACUUGGACGUCUUUGCUGCAAAGAAGUGUAAAACUCAAAAAAUUCUUGAUGGGUGUAACCCACAUAGUUCUUACUAUCGGGAAAAAGAAGAGCAAAUGUAUAGAGAUUUGGGUGAUGAUGAUGUUCAAGAAAAAAUCCCUCAUAAUUCUAAAGGAAAGGGUACAGUUGUUGGGACAAAUGAAAGAAAGGAAAGUGGAGUUAAACACUUAAAAGAACAAAAGGGGAUUGGUUCUUACUUCAUGCCAAGAACAGGUCCUGGUAACCAACCUACUAUCAAACGUGUUCUUCAGAGCAAAGAAGUCAUCGAAAAGUGUGAUCUUACUCUAUCGAAGUGGAUGACCGAUUCGUGUAUUCCUUUCAAUGCUAUAAAUUCUGUGUAUUAUCAACAAAGUAUAGAUGUCAUAGCUAGCAUGGGCCCUGGCUAUAAAGGUCCAAACUUUCACAGUCUUAGAGGUUAUUUUUUGCCUAAAAAUGUCAAGAAGGUGCAGAAUUACAUUGAAAACUAUCGUUCAACAUGGAAGGCUACAGGUUCUACAAUUAUGGCAGACGGUUGGACAGAUCAAUGCAGAAGAACUCUCAUUAAUUUUUUAGUUUAUUGUCCAAAUGGAACAAUAUUCUUAAAAUCUGUAGAUGCUUCAAAUGAAUCAAAAUCUGCUGACAUGUUGUACAAAUUAUUUUGAGAUGUUAUGUUAUUUGUAAGUUCAGAAUAUAUGGUCCAUAUGGUGACAGACAAUGCUGCAAAUUAUGUUGCCGCUGGUAGGUUAUUGGAAUAAGAGUUUCAAACAUUAUUUUGGUCUCCAUGUGCAGGACAUUGCAUUAAUCUAAUGUUUCAUGAUAUUGGUAAGCUUGAUGAAGUUAGUAAUGUCGUAUCUCAGGCAUCAAAAAUCACAAAAUACUUAUACAAUCAUUGCUACCCAUUGCAUUUGAAGAGAAAGUUUACUGAAGGAAAAGAAAUACUUCGACCUGCUCCCACUCGUUUUGCCACCAGUUUUAUUGCUUUACAAAGCAUUUUGAUCCAAAAGGAUCCAUUAAGAUUACAUUAUCAGCACAUGCAAAAGAAAGUAAAGGAAAAAAAUUCGUUGAUGAUGUACUUGAUCCAGUAUUUUGGAAAGAGUGUGCUGCUAUUGUGCAACUUACUGAGCCCCUUGUUCGUGUUCUACGCAUUGUUGAUAGUGACGAAAAGCCUUCAACAGGAUACUUGUAUGAAGCUAUUCAUGUGGCAAAAAGUGAGAUGGAACGCAAAUUUCAAAGAAGGAAAAAUAGAAUUGCUCCUUAUUUGCAAAUUAUUCAGAACCGAUGGGAAAGUCAAUUGCGUAAGAAUCUUCAUGCUACUGGAUAUUGGUUAAACCCUUCUUUUCAAUUUAAUAAUCCUGAUAUGGAAAAUCAUAAACAAAGUAUUUCAGGACUUUUAGAUAUAAUUGAGAGAUAUGCUUAAAGUCAACCCGAUUUAAGAAGUAAAUUGACGGGUGAAAUGAUACUAUUUAGGCGAGCACAAGGUGAUUUUGGACGUUUAUCUGCUGUAGCUGAUCGCCAUAAAAUGGCUCCUGGUAUAAUUUUAUCCUCAUAUUAUGUACUUAGUUAUAUUAUAUAACUCAAAAUUUUAGUUUAUAUAACGUACAUCUAUUUUAUUUUUAUUUUUUUAAUAUAGAUGAAUGGUGGAUGUGUUAUGGUAGUAGUGCACCAAACCUACAAAUGCUUGGAAUUCGAGUUUUAAGUCAAACAUGUAGUUCUUCAGGAUGCGAGAGAAAUUGGAGUAUGUUUGAACACAUUCAUUCAAAAAAGAGAAAUAGACUCGAGCAUCAACGGCUUAAUGAUCUUGUUUAUGUUCACUACAAUUUACGAUUGCAACAACAAUAAUAUUGUGUCAAUAAUUGUUUUCAUCAUAUUGUGAUUUAUUUGAUUUUAAGAUUUUGCAUUCUUCUGCUAGAAUAAUAAUUGACUAUUUAUAAAAUGGAUUAUAUACUUUGUUCAGGAAUUAUUUCAAGAGUCGAAAUUAUGAUCCUAUCGACUUUGAAAGGUUUAGCAUUUAUGGCAAUUGGGUGUUAGAGGAAGAGCCACCAACUUUUGUAGAUGAUGAGUUGGAGGUAUUUCGUCGUGAAUUGAGUGCAUGUACUAUACAAAGUGACAAAAAUGAUGGUAAUUGUUCGAUUAAUGCUAAUGUUUCUUCUUCAUAUUAAAGUAUAUAUGAUGUAACAAUGAAUUUUAAUACUUUUUUUCCAAAUGAAUUACAUUUUGAUGAUCUUGAUCUUGAUUGUUGUGAAAGUUUUGGCAACGGCAAUGAAAAUACAAGUGAUACAAACAAUGGAAACGAGGAUUUUAGCAUGAUCGAGACUCCGUCAUUUAUACAAGACGAAGGAAUUGAAGAAUUUAUGUUCGAGACCCUAGCAUGGAUGCGCUCCAACUCUUCUUAAUUAAGAAAAUAUUGAUUUAUCUCAAAUAAUUUAAUCCGUUGACAUGUUCUUUAUCCACAAAUGACUUUUAAGUGAUGGUUUUAAUUUUGUUAGAUAAAGUUGCUUUUUUUUUUAAUUUUUAUCAUUGAAUGUUAUUUUAAUCAUUUCAAAUGCAUAUUUGAUUAGACAUGAUUUAGAGUUUGUAUUAUUUGGGAUACUUAUUGAUCUUCAGUUAACAAAAUGAUAUGAGGUUAAUUUAGUUAUCACUACUAUAUAAAAAGGGUAAUGUUAGUCACUGUAGAAAGAACAAUAGAUUCUUCCAUUUUCACACACUUUAGCAAUUUUUCAUCUCUUGAGCAAAAACGAUGCCGUCUGCAAAAAAAAAAAAAAAAGUGCAGGCUACUGUGAUGCACCCACUUGCUCUCAAUUUAGGUGGAUAUUUCUUUUUUCUUCUCCAUUUUUACAUGCUACUACCUGUUCUCUCCAUUUUACCACACAAAUUAGACCAAUUCCUUCUUCUCUCUGAGUUUCAUUGGGUCCUUUCUUUUCUCCAUGUAUGUAUAAUAUUUUUGUUUCCAUUCUAUUUUUUUGACGUAUGGACUAAUCUGUUUUAUACUUAUUUUUCAGUUGUUUGCUUGGUAUCCAAUGCUAGGAUUUUGGUGUUUUCGGGCUACUUUUUUCUAACAAGUUAGUUCCUUCUUUUUCCUCACUUAUAGUUUGUAUUAUUAUUACAAGUUGAUUUCUGUGGAGCUUCCAAUCUGUUGUAGAUUUUUGUGUUUAUGUUCUUCGAUUGCUCGAUUUUAUAUUUUGGGUUUGAAUGUUCUUUUCUUUCGUGAUCCUAAAGCAUCCUAAAGUUCGAAAAUUCUUUUGCGAUUUCUGUAAAACUCUUUUCCGUCUGUUGUGCCUGAGCGAAGUUUGGGCUCUAUGAAAUUUUUUUGUUGUUAGUUUUUGAGAUGAUAAAUGAGAAUUCGAAUGUCUGAUAUAUAUAUAUAUUUCUGUAUUCUGUGCUCCAAUCGUUGCGCUUAUUGUAUUUAUUCUCUCAGUUUGUUCGAUUGUUGACACAUAUGUUUUUUUGGCUUUUACUAGAUAGAAUAACAUUAUUUCUACUGGCCUUAUUGCAGUUUGCAGGUAGUGGUGGAGAAUAUUUUCAUUAUGAGUUGGGCUUCUCAUUAGUUCGUGGUAGCAGUACUAUCUAGAGGUUUUUCCUGCGAUGGUUUCUGAGGGAAAAAUCUACUUUCAUAUGAUUUGAUUUUUUGUUUUUCUUGUACAGUGUUGAACUUCGAUGUCGAUGUUGAUUUGUUUUACACAAACUCUGGAGUGAACUAGGAUUGUUUGUUGUAUAUUUUGUAUGGAUUGAUUGAUAUC
rnacentral:lncRNA from 1 species